UAACCAUGUAUUUCGAAUAAAAUUGUUGGUUAGGUGUUGUUUGUAUAUACUUAGAUCUAUUAUGAAUUUUAAAAAUAUGUUGUGUAUAUACAUGUACAUUGUUACUAGUUUCUUUGUCUUCCACCCAAAUCCCUGAGUAUUUUGCUAUUAUUUGGUUACUCUGAUGAAGUCUAUAAGCAUAGACGAAAGCUUAGACCAUUAAUAAAAAGGCACAUCCUACGAA